AACGAACGCUGGCGGCAGGCUUAACACAUGCAAGUCGAACGCCCCGCAAGGGGAGUGGCAGACGGGUGAGUAACACGUGGGAACAUGCCCAAAGGUACGGAAUAUCCUCGGGAAACUGGGAGCAAUACCGUAUGUGCCCGAAAGGGGAAAGAUUUAUCGCCUUUGGAUUGGCCCGCGUUGGAUUAGCUAGUUGGUGGGGUAAAAGCCUACCAAGGCGACGAUCCAUAGCUGGUCUGAGAGGACGACCAGCCACACUGGGACUGAGACACGGCCCAGACGCCUACGGGGGGCAGCAGUGGGGAAUCUUGGACAAUGGGCGCAAGCCUGAUCCAGCCAUGCCGGGUGAGUGAUGAAGGCACUAGGGUUGUAAAACUCUUUCGUGGGGGACGAUAAUGACGGUACCCCAAGAAGAAGCUCCGGCUAACUUCGUGCCAGCCGCCGCGGUAA
rnacentral:rRNA from 1 species